CUACGGGGGGCAGCAGUGAGGAAUUUUGCGCAAUGGGGGAACCCUGACGCAGCAACGCCGCGUGAGUGAUGAAGGCUUUCGGGUCGUAAAGCUCUGUCAAGUGGGAAGAACCUAUGCAGUGUUAAUAUCACUUUAUACUGACGGUACCACUGAAGGAAGUACCGGCUAACUCCGUGCCAGCAGCCGCGGUAAUACGGGGGGUGCAAGCGUUAUUCGGAAUCAUUGGGCGUAAAGGGCACGUAGGCGGCUUGGUAAGUCAGAUGUGAAAGCCCGGGGCUUAACCCCGGAAGUGCAUUUGAUACUGUCAGGCUUGAGUAUGGGAGAGGGAAGUGGAAUUCCUGGUGUAGAGGUGAAAUUCGUAGAUAUCAGGAGGAACACCGGUGGCGAAGGCGACUUCCUGGACCAAUACUGACGCUGAGGUGCGAAGGCGUGGGUAGCAAACAGGAUUAGAUACCCGUGUAGUC
rnacentral:rRNA from 1 species